rnacentral:rRNA from 1 species
GACGAACGCUGGCGGCGUGCUUAACACAUGCAAGUCGAACGGAAAGGCCCUGCUUUCGUGGGGUGCCCGAGUGGCGAACGGGUGAGUAACACGUGAGUAACCUGCCCUUGACUUUGGGAUAACUUCAGGAAACUGGGGCUAAUACCGGAUAGGAGCUCCUGCUGCAUGGUGGGGGUUGGACAGUUUCGGCGGUUGUGGCUGGACGGGGGGCUUAUCAGCUUGUUGGUGGGGGAUCGGCUUACGAAGGCUUCGACGGGUGGCCGGCCUGGGAGGGGGAUCAGCCACCAUGCUCCUGCGGGACGGAGCAGUGUGCAACGUGGGACAGUGGUCGAGAGUAUUGCACAGUCGUGCGACGCCUGAUGCAGCGGCGCCCCGUGCGUGAAGACGGCCUUCGGGUUAUAAACCGCUUUCAGCUGAGACGAUGCGGUAGUGACGGUAACGAGUGAAGAAGCACCGGCUAACUACGUG